UGUAGCGUUUCUCUUUUUUAAUAUUGUUCACUAUCACAAAGUCUUGGUAGGAUCAGAAGAAUAAUAUGCCAAAGAGAAUAAAAAAGACAGAGAAGAGAAGGGAGGGUUGGAGAAGGGAGGUUUAGUAACAUGAAUCUAUAGGAUAGGGAGGCUUGGGGAGGAAGAAUUUUCAUAUAUUUUGUUCUUCUUUGUCAGUCCUCUCAUUCCAAUGGCUUCAUGUGCUUCCUCCUUUCUCCCCAACUUUCCAUUUUUAUUUUUGUUUUUUUGUCGCAAUUUUUGCUAUAAUCUACAAAGAUGUGAGAGGAGCAAGAAGUAAAUGGAGAUCGAUUUGCAGGAAGUUGUGGGUGUGGAGAACUUGGGGAGGAUUUAAAGUAAAUCCUUCCCAAGACCCCCCAUACCGAUGAUUUUCUGCAGAUCCUCCCCUUCCCGACCUUGUCCUGCUGUUUUUAGGUCUCUCAAUAUUUUGCUAAGGCAUAUAAUACUCGACAAGUUCUACACAUUGAAUGAUUCAGAUUAUCGAAAUGGGAUCAGUGGUGGGCCCAACACUACCCUCCAACUUAAUGAAUACAUAGAACUAUUUUUUUUUUGGUACUAUCAUUGCGUAAAUUUUCCAUCACUUCAGUAUCAUCACUGUGUAGCUUUUUGGAUUGUACUAAUAUUGUGAAAAUUAAUUUUUUUAUAUUUUUAAUUUAUGAAUGGUGAUUAUUUUUUUUU